rfam:Capsicum annuum cultivar Zunla-1 chromosome 11, whole genome shotgun sequence
ACCUCAUGGUUGGGAUAUUGGAUGAUUUUUUCAUUAAAUCUUUCCCACACUUUGUACAAGGGUUCUCCAUUUAAUUGAUGAAAAUUAGCGAUUUGGUCAUGGAAUU